CUGUCUCAACAAAUAACAUAAAAACUACUCUUUAAGUGAAGAAUCUUAAAUUUUAAUAAAGGACAAGAAGACCCUAUAGAACUUUAUUUAAACCCUAUAAUUUAUAGAUUAAAAUUCGGUUGGGGCGACCAUGGAUAAAUCAUCCAUAGUAUAUGAGAUAAAUAAAUCAAUCAAUAGAUCCAAAUAUGAUCACCAGAUUUAGCUACCUUAGGGAUAACAGGCUAAUCCUAUUAUAGAGCUCCUAUCGACAAUAGGGA
rnacentral:rRNA from 1 species